GACGAACGCUGGCGGCGUGCUUAACACAUGCAAGUCGAACGGAAAGGCCCCUUUGGGGGUACUCGAGUGGCGAACGGGUGAGUAACACGUGAGUAACCUGCCCUUGACUUCGGGAUAACUUCAGGAAACUGGGGCUAAUACCGGAUAGGAAUCCUUGCUGCAUGGUGGGGGUUGGAAAGCUUCGGCGGUUUUGGAUGGACUCGCGGCUUAUCAGCUUGUUGGUGGGGUAGUGGCUUACCAAGGCUUUGACGGGUAGCCGGCCUGAGAGGGCGACCGGCCACAUUGGGACUGAGAUACGGCCCAGACGCCGACGGGAGGCAGCAGUGGGGAAUAUUGCACAAUGGGCGGAAGCCUGAUGCAGCAACGCCGCGUGCGGGAUGACGGCCUUCGGGUUGUAAACCGCUUUCAGCAGGGGCGAAGCUUGUGGUGACGGUACCUGCAGAAGAAGCACCGGCUAACUACGUG
rnacentral:rRNA from 1 species